GAUGCCUCCUCCUAUAGGAAGUGCACACCAGGGGCCUGCGGGCCGAAAGUGGCUUCCUGAUCAUUUUUGAUGGGUGUUGCCCCAAAGUGUUAGCCUGCACUGCAUUUGAAAUUGGGAUCAGUUGCCAAAAUAGAAAAAAGAAUCUCAAGAUUUCUACAUGGAAACAGAUUUCCAGCAUGUCGGACAUGUUCUGAAAGCCCUCUGGAGCUGAUGGCUAUUUGUAGACACCUCUUUCCAGCUGAAAGAUGAAGGAGGUGACACCUAACGAGGGAUGGGAUGGCUGCAGCCGCUGCUGUGAGUUGGGAGUGUGGCUGGGGCUGGCAGGAGCUGCUGGACAUCAGGCUGGUACCAUCACAGCCACUGCUGAAGGGGACCUACUUUGCCCGCAUUUGUGCACCAGCCCACUGCCGCUGGAGGGAUCCGAGGACACAGUGAUAACCUGGCAUCAUGGAGAGAGCCCUGUAGUGAAAGACUCAUGCCCUGAAGUCUGGCUGCCUGGGUUCCAGUUCCCUGGCUGUGGCUGUGCCUCUCACACACUGUGUCUGCCGGCUGGUGAUUUCCUUUGCAGGUUCCUCCUUGCUCUGAAAUUCAAGGGUUUUUGGAUUCUAACA